AUCGCUUCUCGGCCUUUUGGCUAAGAUCAAGUGUAGUAUCUGUUCUUAUCAGUUUAAUAUCUGAUACGUCCCCUACCCGGGGACCAUAUAUUAAAUUGCUUUUUGGAACAGGGAGAUGGAAAAGGGGCUUGGGUUGGGAACCGGAGGGUCGCCUGUUCAAGUCCCCGUCCGGACCAAAAUAU